rnacentral:snoRNA from 9 species
CAGCCGUGAUGAAAAAAACUUGUGUCCUUGAGACGGUUUUCUUAUAGAAAUCGUCUUUGACGGCAACACAACCCUCUAAGAAGUUCUGAGCUG